rnacentral:rRNA from 1 species
AUUGAACGCUGGCGGCAGGCCUAACACAUGCAAGUCGAGCGAGCGGCGGACGGGUGAGAAAUGUAUGGGGAUCUGCCAGAGAGAGGGGGAAAACUACUGGAAACGGGGGCUAAUACCGCAAACUAACGGAUGAACACAUAUGGGAUUAGAUAGUAGGUGGGGUAAAGGCUCACCUAGGCGACGAUCUCUAGCUGGUCUGAGAGGAUGAUCAGCCCCACUGGGACUGAGACACUGCCCAGACUCCUACGGGAGGCAGCAGUGGGGAAUAUUGCACAAUGGGCGCAAGCCUGAUGCAGCCAUGCCGCGUGUAUGAAGAAGGCCUUAGGGUUGUAAAGUACUUUCAGCGGGGAGGCGUUACCCGCAGAAGAAGCACCGGCUAACUCCGUGCCAGCAGCCGCGGUAAUUC